GGGCGAUUAGCUCAGCUGGGAGAGCGCCAGCUUCGCAUGUUGGAGGCCGUGGGUUCGAAUCCCAUAUCGUCCACCA
rnacentral:tRNA from 1 species